rnacentral:lncRNA from 1 species
AUGGACUGCAGAUUCAAAAAAAGACGAUCAUGUCACCGACUGGAAAUUCUAAAAUGUGCUUUAAAAGCCAACUACCUCGUAGCUAGACAUGUUACACAGAGCAAUAAAGGUGUUUACUGUUGCAGAGGAGGUAAUUUUACCAGCUGCUGUGGCCAUAGAAGAUCAAAGCAGCUGCUGACCACCCUGCUCUCUAAUGACACUGUGAGUCGCUGCAUCAUGGACAUGGCCUCAGACAUACAGAACCAGCUUCUCAAGCGGAUAUUAAACAGCCUGUAUUCCUCUUUACGACUUGAAGAGUCCACGGAUGUCAUCAGUGCUCCAUUGCUACUGGUUUUUGUUUAUUAUAUUGGACAAGAUCUUCAGAAAAGGAAACUGCUUAGUCAGUCACCUGACCUGAAUGGCAUUACAUUAAUCUCUGAGAACAAAGUAAGGAACCUUGGUGUUAUCUUUGACCAGGACAUGUCAUUCAAAUCCCAAGUUAAACAGGUCUGCAGGAUUUCCUUCUUCCACCUUCGGAAUAUUGCUAAGAUUAGAAGCAUACUUUCCAGGAGUGAUGCUGAAAAACUAGUUCAUGCAUUUAUUACAUCAAGACUGGAUUACUGUAAUUCAUUACUCUCAGGAAGUCCACAGAAUGUAGUUAAAAGUCUUCAGCUUGUCCAAAAUGCUGCAGCUAGAGUUCUGAUGAGAAUUAAAAAGAGAGAUCAUAUCUCUCCUGUCUUAGCUUCCCUACAUUGGCUACCUGUUAAAUUCAGAAUAGAUUUUAAGAUCCUUCUUCUCACAUAUAAAGCUCUUAAUAAUCAAGCUCCAUCAUACAUCAGUGAUCUGAUUGUUCCAUAUGUUCCUAACCGAGCACUUCGCUCUCAGACUGCAGGUUUACUGGUGGUUCCCAGAAUAUCUAAAAUUAGGAUGGGAGGCAGAUCUUUUAGUUAUCAGGCUCCUCUCCUGUGGAACCAGCUCCCAGCUUUAGUCCGUGAGGCAGACACCUUGUCUACUUUUAAGACUAGGCUUAAAACAUUUUUAUUUGAUAGGGCCUAUGGUUAA